UGGUCAUAUACCAAGGCUUUCAGGUAAUUUUGUUCCUGACUUGCUGUGGACCUGACCAGAAAUAAAAACCAUUCCAGUGAGCUUCUGCGGCAGUCUGCUCAGAAGACUUGUUGGGAACACUU
rnacentral:snoRNA from 1 species